UAAAAACCCCGACUUCGGGAGGGGUGUAUUUAUUAGAUACAAAACCAAUGCCCUUCGGGGCUCUUUGGUGAUUCAUGAUAACUAUACGAAUCGCACGGCCUUGCGCCGGCGAUGGUUCAUUCAAAUUUCUUCCCUAUCAACUUUCGAUGUUUGGGUAUUGGCCAAACAUGGUUGCAACGGGUAACGGAGGGUUAGGGCUCGACCCCGGAGAAGGAGCCUGAGAAACGGCUACUGCAUCCAAGGAAGGCAGCAGGCGCGCAAAUUACCCAAUCCCGACUCGGGGAGGUAGUGACAAUAAAUACUGAUACAGGGCCCUUUCGGGCCUUGUAAUUGGAAUGAGUACAAUUUAAAUCCCUUAACGAGGAACAAUUGGAGGGCAAGUCUGGUGCCAGCAGCCGCGGUAAUUCCAGCUCCAAUAGCGUAUAUUAAAGUUGUUGUGGUUAAAAAGCUCGUAGUUGAACCUUGGGCCUGGCUGGCCGGUCCGCCUCACCGCGUGCACUGGUCCGGCCGGGCCUUUCCCUCUGUGGAACCCCAUACCCUUCACUGGGCGUGGCGGGGAAACAGGACAUUUACUUU
rnacentral:rRNA from 1 species